rnacentral:rRNA from 1 species
AUGCUGCUCGAAACUCUGUUGAAUCAAGAGGGUUAUCAUGAGCACGCUGACAAUGUGCGGAACAUUUCCAUGAGUGGUGCAAAGUGCCUUGGCGUCAUCGCUAGAACUGUUGGUGAUGCAAUUGUCCCUCUUGUGAUGCCAUUUAUUAAGGUUAACAUCACAAACCUGGAUUGGCAUUGUCGCGAGGCAGCUACUUUUGCAUUUAGCUCUAUCCUUGAAGGUCCCUCUGUUGAGAAGCUUACCCCCCUGAUGCAGGCUAGACUUGAUUUCUUGUUCAACUCAAUGAAAGAUCCAAACAACCAGGUAAAAGUCUCCACCGCGUGGACCCUUCAAUGGAUGUUUGAGCUUUUGCAUUCUCCAGCCAGUGGAAUUCCAGUUAUAACAAAUGCAAACCAAUCAUGA